rnacentral:rRNA from 1 species
UACCUUUUGUAUCAGGGUUGAUUAAAUAAUUUUUAAAUAAUUAAUUAUCUCGAAAUUAAAAGAGUUAAAUAUAUAAAAUUUUUUUUGUUAAAUAAAAAUUAUAAAUAUAUAUUUAGAGAUUAAAUGUUAUUCGAUUUUAAUGAUAUCUAGUUUUUUUUGAAUUAAAUUUAAUUUAUAUAUUUUUUAAGAAUAAAUUUUAUUAAAAAAUUUUAUUUUAUAAAAUAUAAAUAAUUUAUGGGAUAAACUAUAAAUUAAUUAUAUAAUAGUUUAAUUUAAAAUUUAAAGAAAUUAAUUUUAAAAUUUAAAAAUAUUUAAUAAGUAUUUAAUAAUUUAUUAAUAAAUGUUUUAUUAUAUUAUAUAUAUAUAUAAAUUAGAAAAUAAAUAAUUUUAAUGAAUUAAUUAUAUUAGAAUGAUUAAAUUAGUAAUUUAAUUUGUUUAAAUUAUUUUAUUAUAUAUAUAAUAAAUAUAUUUAAGUAAUUAGGCAAAAUAAUUAUAUUCACCUGUUUAACAAAAACAUGUCUUUUUGAAUUUAAUAUAAAGUCAGUUCUGCUCAAUGAUUAAUUAAAUAGCUGCAGUAUUUUAACUGUACAAAGGUAGCAUAAUCAUUUGUCUUUUAAUUGAAGGCUAGAAUGAAUGAAUUAAUGAAAUAUAAACUGUCUCAAUUAUAUAAAAUAAAAUUAAAUUUUAAGUUAAAAUGCUUAAUUUAAUUUAAGGGACGAUAAGACCCUAUAGAAUUUUAUAUAUUAUAAAUUUAAUAAAUUAUAAUAGUAUAUUUGAUUGGGAGGAUUUUUAGAUUUAAUUAACUUUAAAGUUUUAAAAAUAUUGAUUUAUAGAUAAAUUUAAUUGAAAUAUAUUAUUAUAUAAUAUAAUAAAAGUAUAAAUUACCUUAGGGAUAACAGCGUAAUAUUUUUGGAAAGAUCAAAUUGAAAAAAUUGUUUGCGACCUCGAUGUUGAAUUAAAAUUAAUUAUAAAUGUAGGUGUUUAUAAAUUUAGUCUGUUCGACUAUUAAAAUUUUACAUGAUUUGAGUUCAGAUCGACGUGAGUCAGAUUGGUUUCUAUCUUUAAAAAAAUUUAAAAUUUUUGUACGAAAGGACU